UACGGAGGGGGCAAGCGUUGUCCGGAAUCAUUGGGCGUAAAGCGCGUGUAGGCGGCUCGGCAAGUCUGCUGUGAAAGUCCAGGGCUCAACCCUGGGAUGCCGGUGGAUACUGUCGAGCUCGAGUCCGGAAGAGGCGAGUGGAAUUCCUGGUGUAGCGGUGAAAUGCGCAGAUAUCAGGAGGAACACCAAUGGCGAAGGCAGCUCGCUGGGACGUGACUGACGCUGAGACGCGAAAGCGUGGGGAGCAAACAGG
rnacentral:rRNA from 1 species